GACGAACGCUGGCGGCGUGCCUAAUACAUGCAAGUAGAACGCACAGGAUGCACCGUAGUUUACUACACCGUAUUCUGUGAGUUGCGAACGGGUGAGUAACGCGUAGGUAACCUGCCUGGUAGCGGGGGAUAACUACUGGAAACGAUAGCUAAUACCGCAUAAGAACAUUUACUGCAUGGUAGAUGUUUAAAAGGUGCAAAUGCAUCACUACCAGAUGGACCUGCGUUGUAUUAGCUAGUAGGUGAGGUAACGGCUCACCUAGGCGACGAUACAUAGCCGACCUGAGAGGGUGAUCGGCCACACUGGGACUGAGACACGGCCCAGACUCCUACGGGAGGCAGCAGUAGGGAAUCUUCGGCAAUGGGGGGAACCCUGACCGAGCAACGCCGCGUGAGUGAAGAAGGUUUUCGGAUCGUAAAGCUCUGUUGUUAAGGAAGAACGAGUGUGAGAAUGGAAAGUUCAUACUGUGACGGUACUUAACCAGAAAGGGACGGCUAACUACGUGCCAGCAGCCGCGGUAAUACGUAGGUCCCGAGCGUUGUCCGGAUUUAUUGGGCGUAAAGCGAGCGCAGGCGGUUAGAUAAGUCUGAAGUUAAAGGCAGUGGCUCAACCAUUGUAGGCUUUGGAAACUGUUUAACUUGAGUGCAGAAGGGGAGAGUGGAAUUCCAUGUGUAGCGGUGAAAUGCGUAGAUAUAUGGAGGAACACCGGUGGCGAAAGCGGCUCUCUGGUCUGUAACUGACGCUGAGGCUCGAAAGCGUGGGGAGCGAACAGG
rnacentral:rRNA from 1 species